CAACUAUGAAUCACAGACAAGAAACUGAAACCAAGCAAAGCUCUGAGAGUAUUUUUGACAGCCAAAUAGUCAGGUCAGAGCUAGGAAUAACAUCAUAUCCCACAUUCCUGCUUCUAAUGACUGGUCAUUACUUUAAAAUACCCAGGGAUUUGGUUCUUAUGCUAAAAUCGUCUUCUCUACAAAUGGUUUCCUAACAAGAGCCACCAUACAGAUGUUGGGUUCUGCUGAACCAGAUCAUAUUCAUAGUGAUCAGACAGGGUUAAACACAGAGCCAUGGGAGAUGUCUAAGGAAAUCUCAUCAUCUUCUAAAUUUCAUGUAUAGCUGGGCUCAGAAGGUGAUGCUCAGAUCUGUAAUGGAGUUGCACUAGAAAGGAAUUCAGGUCUAAGUCCAAACCUGAGAUUAGGUUUCAAUUUGAUUGCACCAAAACUUCUGAGGCUGUUCUCAGGGGACUUCAGCUCCAAGGCGACCCUCCAGUCUUAAGCAAUUUCCAUUGUGAGUUCUGCUGCCUUGGAUGGCAUUAAAACUGCAUCCAGCCACAGAGGGCUAGACCAGUUUGGGAGAUGCGUGAAUAAUUUUGAGUCUAGAUGCUAAAUCCUCCUUUCUGAGAAUUGCAGUGUGCAGGGAGGAGGGUUUCACACUUGCAGUCCCAUAACUGGUUUUGCUACAAUGCAGAACUCUGCUCAGGUUGUGUUCUGUUCCGUGUUAUAUUCUGUAGCCUGAGCAGAUGUCUGGUUUCAUGUUGAAAUUAUGUAAAUUGUAAAUGAUGCAAAUUAUUUUGAAUGGCAGAUGAGAGGCACAGGGCAGCUGAAGCAGAAGCCUAAGCACUAUGGGUAGAGAUACAAGAGCCAAAUUAGGAGCUCUGUUUUGGGGACUAAAGCAGCUCAGCCCAGUUCCUGCAGCCCAGGACAGGGCGAGGGGAAGA